UNUGACUUGAGUGCAGAAGGGGAGAGUGGAAUUCCAUGUGUAGCGGUGAAAUGCGUAGAUAUAUGGAGGAACACCAGUGGCGAAAGCGGCUCUCUGGUCUGUCACUGACGCUGAGGCUCGAAAGCGUGGGUAGCGAACAGGAUUAGAUACCCUGGUAGUCCACGCCGUAAACGAUGAGUGCUAGGUGUUAGGCCCUUUCCGGGGCUUAGUGCCGGAGCUAACGCAAUAAGCACUCCGCCUGGGGAGUACGACCGCAAGGUUGAAACUCAAAGGAAUUGACGGGGGCCCGCACAGGCGGUGGAGCAUGUGGUUUAAUUCGAAGCAACGCGAAGAACCUUACCAGGUCUUGACAUCCCGAUGCUAUUCUUAGAGAUAGGAAGUUACUUCGGUACAUCGGAGACAGGUGGUGCAUGGUUGUCGUCAGCUCGUGUCGUGAGAUGUUGGGUUAAGUCCCGCAACGAGCGCAACCCUUAUUGUUAGUUGCCAUCAUUAAGUUGGGCACUCUAGCGAGACUGCCGGUAAUAAACCGGAGGAAGGUGGGGAUGACGUCAAAUCAUCAUGCCCCUUAUGACCUGGGCUACACACGUGCUACAAUGGUCGAUACAACGAGUUGCGAGCCGGUGACGGCAAGCUAAUCUCUGAAAGCCGAUCUCAGUUCGGAUUGGAGGCUGCAACUCGCCUCCAUGAAGUCGGAAUCGCUAGUAAUCGCGGAUCAGCACGCCGCGGUGAAUACGUUCCCGGGCCUUGUACACACCGCCCGUCACACCACGAGAGUUUGUAACACCCGAAGUCGGUGAGGUAACCUUUUAGGGGCCAGCCG
rnacentral:rRNA from 1 species